ACGCUGGCGGCGUGCCUAAUACAUGCAAGUAGAACGCUGAAGGAGGAGCUUGCUUCUCUGGAUGAGUUGCGAACGGGUGAGUAACGCGUAGGUAGCCUGCCUGGUAGCGGGGGAUAACUAUUGGAAACGAUAGCUAAUACCGCAUAAUAGUAGAUGUUGCAUGACAUUUGCUUAAAAGAUGCAAUUGCAUCACUACCAGAUGGACCUGCGUUGUAUUAGCUAGUUGGUGGGGUAACGGCUCACCAAGGCGACGAUACAUAGCCGACCUGAGAGGGUGAUCGGCCACACUGGGACUGAGACACGGCCCAGACUCCUACGGGAGGCAGCAGUAGGGAAUCUUCGGCAAUGGACGAAAGUCUGACCGAGCAACGCCGCGUGAGUGAAGAAGGUUUUCGGAUCGUAAAGCUCUGUUGUAAGAGAAGAACGAGUGUGAGAGUGGAAAGUUCACACUGUGACGGUAUCUUACCAGAAAGGGACGGCUAACUACGUGCCAGCAGCCGCGGUAAUACGUAGGUCCCGAGCGUUGUCCGGAUUUAUUGGGCGUAAAGCGAGCGCAGGCGGUUAGAUAAGUCUGAAGUUAAAGGCUGUGGCUUAACCAUAGUACGCUUUGGAAACUGUUUAACUUGAGUGCAAGAGGGGAGAGUGGAAUUCCAUGUGUAGCGGUGAAAUGCGUAGAUAUAUGGAGGAACACCGGUGGCGAAAGCGGCUCUCUGGCUUGUAACUGACGCUGAGGCUCGAAAGCGUGGGGAGCAAACGGGAUUAGAUACCCUGGUAGUCCACGCCGUAAACGAUGAGUGCUAGGUGUUAGACCCUUUCCGGGGUUUAGUGCCGCAGCUAACGCAUUAAGCACUCCGCCUGGGGAGUACGACCGCAAGGUUGAAACUCAAAGGAAUUGACGGGGGCCCGCACAAGCGGUGGAGCAUGUG
rnacentral:rRNA from 1 species